rnacentral:rRNA from 1 species
CAGUAGGGAAUCUUCGGCAAUGGGGGCAACCCUGACCGAGCAACGCCGCGUGAGUGAAGAAGGUUUUCGGAUCGUAAAGCUCUGUUGUAAGAGAAGAACGAGUGUGAGAGUGGAAAGUUCACACUGUGACGGUAACUUACCAGAAAGGGACGGCUAACUACGUGCCAGCAGCCGCGGUAAUACGUAGGUCCCGAGCGUUAUCCGGAUUUAUUGGGCGUAAAGCGAGCGCAGGCGGUUAGAUAAGUCUGAAGUUAAAGGCUGUGGCUUAACCAUAGUACGCUUUGGAAACUGUUUAACUUGAGUGCAGAAGGGGAGAGUGGAAUUCCAUGUGUAGCGGUGAAAUGCGUAGAUAUAUGGAGGAACACCGGUGGCGAAAGCGGCUCUCUGGUCUGUAACUGACGCUGAGGCUCGAAAGCGUGGGGAGCAAACAGGAUUAGAUACCCUGGUAGUCCACGCCGUAAACGAUGAGUGCUAGGUGUUGGGUCCUUUCCGGGACUCAGUGCCGCAGCUAACGCAUUAAGCACUCCGCCUGGGGAGUACGACCGCAAGGUUGAAACUCAAAGGAAUUGACGGGGGCCCGCACAAG